rnacentral:lncRNA from 1 species
UGUUUUGAGAUCAAAUUUCAUAAUUUAGAAAGUGAUGAACUUGAAUUGAAUCAAAGAAUACAUGAGUUACAAGAAUAAAAGGACUUAAGGACUGAUUUUCAUUAUCUAAAAAGAUUAAGGACUUGAAUGACAAUAUAGCAUUAAUGGCUUGAACUGGAGACCUUUCUAUUUGUAAUUGGUGGCAGAAUUGGACCCCUUUUAUCCACAAAGACCCGCAACAUGGAAAUUUUAAAUGGGGAAGAAUUGAAAAGCAAACUUAAGAAUAUUUGCGGCCCAGAAUUCAAAACCUACCGAACCCGCAUUGAAGAGACGUGGGGUAGCCAAGAUUAUUAGAUACACGCACAAAGAAGACAAGAGAAUUGGGCUGCGGGUUGCUGAAAUUUAUUACAUAUACACACAGAAAUCGAAGCUGGAGAAGUGAGCGAUACAUACAAACAUAUAAACGGCAUCUUUCAAGGAGUCAAAAAAGGAAGGCAACCUUCUUCAUUAAAAUAAAUAAAUAAAUAAUGCUGGUGGCUGGAGGAAUUAAGAAGGGCAGCUUUAGGAGACAACAUUGGUGGCUGGGUUAAUAUGUCCCCAUUUGAAUCCCAUUAUCUGUAGAUUAUAAUGAGAUGAAUAGUAUUUUUUUGAAAAAUGAGUGGUUGAAAAAUUUUUAAUUUACGCGUAAUAUUAUUUUAUUGAAGAUUAUGUGAUUAACGUAAGAGAGAGAAGAAUUUAAUUUAAUGCAAUGAAAA